rnacentral:lncRNA from 1 species
CUUCUCUUUUGGUGGCCGACACUUCAUGCGGCCUUGUCUUCUCUUCUCUCUGUGUUCGACGAAGCUGCCAGCUACCCCCACGAUCCCGCUUUUCUCUUUUCCUUCGCCGAGCGCAGCUUCUGUUCUGCUACUUCUCCUUGGUUCGGUCGAGGAAGCCCGCUCGUUAAUUUUUCUCUCCUGACGGUCGUCUUCAUCGAGCAAACUCAGCAGCUCGUGACCACGUGUCUGCAGCUCCAUUUCAACAGCCACGGUCUCUCUCUCUCUCUCUCUCUCUCUCUCUCUCUUCGUCCAUCGCCGCCUGCAAGCCACCAUCGUUUGUCUCCAUUUGGUCAACAAACCGGCAUAUUCCCCCAGCGUUGACCGAAGCAGCCGAGCGUUCCAUCCCCUCCGUCCGCGUGGGCGUCUCCAGCUCCGUGGCCUGCAUCUCCUUAGUACGUGACAUCUCCACGAAGCCAGCUCGUGGAUCAGCCAGCAAAGCGAGAAGCCAGUGUCCCCUUCAUGCUGCCAGCUCCGUUCCAGCGUCGUCUCCAUAAGCCCAGCAUCUUCGGCCCAUCUCCAGUCGCAAGUCCAGCCCAUUCUCUGCAGCAGUCAGCCCGCAACUUCAGUCCAUCGGGCCCUUGCUGUUUCUCUUGCCAGGCCCAAGCUGCAGCCCACACGAAAUUCAGCCUGUGGAAUCCAGCAAUUUUGGCCAAACAACUGGGCCUGUUUUCAGCCCGUUGAGUUCAGCCAAGCCCAGCGAAAUUUUAAGGCCCAAGCCCAAUGUCUGCAGUGAACCCAGUCCAACGUAAAAACAAAUCUUAGUCGGGUUGAGAUUUGUUGGGCCAAGUUUAGGCCCGGUCCAAGUAUCCGCCGAUGCAGCCAAAAAGUUGAAUUUUGGCCGUCAUCGCGCCGUCGUUGCGGUGAUCCGGUCUCCACUUUUAAUCAAGUGAGUUUUGCUUACUAAUGCUUUCUUAGUUUGCUAAUUAUGCUUAGGGGUUGGUUAAAUUUAAUUAAGUGCAAUUAGGUGGUUAGAUUAGUUUAGAACAAUUAAAUUAGUGACUUAAUGAUGCAUGUUAGGUGGUUAAACUUAGUCAUUAGCAAGUAGAGAGCCUCUAAUAUUUAUUGAAUACAUCUCAGGAUUUUUCUCGACUCAUUUCGGGCCCCAAUCAAGCAAUACGGGCAUAAAUUGGAUUUUUAAUAUUUAUUUAUUUAUUUUUCGAAAUUAAUUAUUUAAUUAAUUAUGUUUCCAGAAAUUCAACCAGGAUGACCGGUGAUUGGAAUUUUGUGUUGAUUGUUGUGGUGCAGUCCAUUUAUUUAUUUGAGCUCUACGUUGUGUUGAAUUGAAUUGAUUGUGCAAUUUGAGGAAUUAUUCCUAAAUUGAUUUAAAAAGAGUGGAAUCGAAUGAUUGAUUGGUAGAUGGCCGAGUAUGGUUAUUUGGCAUUAAUAAUACCUUGAUGAGUUGUAAAGUGGAGAGAAUCAUGAGACUGGAUUGAGAAUACUCUUAGUGGAGACCGAUCAGGUACGAGGUAUAGACAUAUGUGGUUCGGUAAUAAGGAAAUCACUGGUGAAAACGGCACUUUAAAGAACGCACGAGUGUUGUUUAUUACUUGCAUUAGUAUAGACAUACGUGUGAUAUUGCUAGUAUGAGUACCUAGAGGGGGGUGAAUAGGUGCAUAAACAAUUUAUUGAAAUACGGAAGCGAUUCUUAGCAUAUGAUAGAAAAUAAAUUCUCUCUUAAUUAACAAAAUGAAAUACGAUCGAGGUAGAGAGAAUGAGGAAGAGAAAAUUGAACACAUGAUUUAUAGUGGUUCGGCUUAUUCCAAGCCUACGUCCACUCUUCCGCACUGACAGCCCACCGGCUGGAUUUCACUAUGAUCAAAAGAGAAGUUACAGCACAGCUUUGCCUUGAUUCCACAGUGUAGAUGUUCUACCACAACUCCUCAAGGUCUCUCACAAAUAUAGACUCUUUUUUGUAUACAAGUAUUCGCUCAAAGGAUUUAUCUAAACAAAUAGGAGCUUCAGACUUUGGAAUUCUUCUAUCGCGCACACCUUGAACAACUAAGACAGUCUUCCUUAUAUACUAUUUUAUGCCAUCAUACCCGUUGGCACUUACCAAAGGAAUUCCUCCAAUCUACCCGUUGGACGGAAUCAAUUAGGAAGAUUGUUUAAGCUAUUAAAGGAACGCGUUGAUAGCCCAUCAAUCCUGUUCGCCCAUACAAUCAGGAUCUCGGUUUCCAUAAGCAGAACCUUCCAAUAAUAUUUAGGCAAUUACCGGAUCUUCAAUUUAUCGAGUCAAUCUUCGAUCAAUCAAAGGACUCCGUUAUGUCUUCUCCAGCAACGAGAUCUUCUCCAGUUGAUAAGGUCAAAUCCUUAACGAAACAUUCAGUUCUGGAUAACCUUUCUUCAACGGAUUAGAGACUGUCAAUGAGGAUAGACUUUGAGUCUUGAGUCAAGCUGUCCGGAGGUCUUUAGACUUUAAAUAGCAGAGUCUGCAAGCCUUCAGACUAGAUUGAUAGAAUCGUUUUGUCAACUUCAAAACACUUCAAGAAGAUUUCUCCAACAAUCUCCCCCUUUUUGAUGGUGACAAAACUUUCCUGCAGAUUUGGAUAUCUUUGACCUGCAAAACAUUCCUCAAACACAUAUGCAUAUCUUAUAGAGAUAAAUGGCUAACAGAAUAACACUAGAAUCUGCAACCACAUAAAAUAGGUUAGUCUAGUAUAUGAUUAAGCCAUUCAUAAGAUAUCAAUAUUGGUUAAUAGAAGCAGUCAAGUCCAAGUCUAGAUCAGUUCUUAUCUAGACACAAAACAAAGUCAAAGAGGUUCAAACCACAAACCACAAAACAAUCCAACAGACAAAGAUUUUAAUGAAUGAAAAGUUUUUUGAUCAAAUCUUGCAUCUCUCCCCCUUUUUGUCAUCAUUAAAAAGGACGAGAUGAAGUCAAGAUUGCUUGGGAAUGCGGACAAGCUGGAAAUCUUCUAUAGACUGAACGAUGCCUUCCAGCCUUUUAAAGUCUUCCUUUAGUUGUGCAAUCUCCUCACUCUUGGCGUUGGCCUGAUUCUGAACAGAGAGGGCUUGCAUUUUAUCAUUCAAUGCAUAGGAAGAAGCUUGACCUUCAUUCUUCAAGCUUUGAACUUCGCAUCCCAAGGCAUAAAUUUGACCUCGCAUCUCCAAGAGAAUAUCCAUGAUUCUGCGUCCUCGAGGAUCGGGGCGUGACAUUGCGUACAUUUGACCCUUUUGUUAUUUUUUAUUUUUGCUUGUUUCUGGUCCAACUAUUUAAAUUUGACAAAUUUAGACUUGGAACCUCCCAUAAGUAAUCAGUUCAUUGAAUUUUAGCUUUCAACUGCUUCAGUUGGUCGCCUACUGUGGGCUGCUAAUUUCUGACGAUUAUCGCAACGAUGAAUUUCUUUUCAUUUUCUUCAGGUUCUCUGAGUAUUUUGGCUUAGCGAAAUUUAUUUGUUGGUCCGUCCUCCAAACUUUCUGUUUGUCUAGCCGAAAUGAUUUGAGUGUAACUUUAAGGAAGAUGUAGAUUUAUGGAGCUACCUUAGUUGUUUGUCGUUCGAAAUUUUUCCCAACGAAAUAAAAGAAAAUGGAAAUAUCAAAAACCAUCCUUACAUUUCAACCAUUACUACUUAUUCUCCUCUAUUUAAAAAAAUACCACUUACCAUCCUUUGAAAACAUCUCAUUAUUUUGAAAAUAAAAUAAAACCUCAUUGCUAAAAUGACCAAGUUGCCUCUCUUUGGAAUUUAAUCCUCCAAGUCUCUCACAAACCCUAGUCUCCAUCACCCGCAAACCCUCGUCUCUUUUUCACCCAUCAUCGUCUGCUGCUACCGCUGCCGCCAUUAUGGCGGUGGCCAUGACGGCAGCCAAUGAGUAGUAAUUGAGCUUAGAGUUAUGUGGUUUGGUUUUGAGUUUGGUUUUGGGUUUGGGUGUGGUAGAAAAAUUAUGACUUUGGUGGGGACAUUUCAAGAAAUGAAAUGGCAUUAUUGUAAAUAAGGGAAUAUGUGAAGAUGUAAAGUGAUCUCUAGCAAACCUCGAGAUGUUAAGUGGUGUUUUUCAAAAGUAGAGGAGGGUAAGUGAUAAUAGAAGAAAUGUGGAGAUCGAUUUCAUACUAACAUUGGUGACAUCAUUUGAUAGUGCAUAUCGUUUUAACGACAAUCCAUGUCAUUGAGAAUAGGAAACUCAUUUGAUACUCUCAUGUUAAAUGGUCCUCAAUAUGCAAUCAAUCAACAGAUUCAUAUCCACACAUAUCACAAUGCUUUCACAAACAUUUCAGAUUGUUUUUAGCAAAUGUUUUCUAUAACUUCAGAACUUGAUGAAGCAACAUUAAGAUCUAGCUCACCGUAAUUAUCACACAUUGAAGUGCUUAGUUCACAUCUAAUUAUUACUAGCCCAUAUCUAAUUAUGAAAACUCUUGAACACAAUUAUGUAUUAGAUAUCGAUCAUUAACCGAUUCUUUUCAUCGUUAGAUUGGGUGAUAAAUUAGUCUGAUACUCCACAUUGCUUUCUUUUCUUCUUUCCCCUUUCUUUGCUGUCAUGAGACGAUAUAUUUGACAAAAAUACUUGGGAACUCCAGGAGUCCAGGGGAGUUAAUGGUAGCCCACGUGCUAAUGAAUCAGUUUAUUGAAUUUCAAAUAUUGGCUAAACCAGAUAACAACAUUAGGGCAAUAGAAUUUUUUAACUCUUAUUAUUUUGAUUAGUGCACUGAAAGUGUUGUCGGACUCAUUCAAUUAAGACCGAAUAAUAGAUACUUUAUAUUGUUUAUAAAUGCGGAAGUACUUCAUUAGGAUAGUACAUAUUGAUAUAACGUACAAGGAGAAAGUGAAGGAAUAAAUAUAAUUACUUGCUCCUUCAAAAGAUUAGAGAGUCGAUAUAAUUUAUCUCCACAAAUAAUCAUUGGUAAUGAAUUUCAAUGAAAAGGCCUUCCCUAAGUUGCUUGAGCCACGGAAUCAUAAAACGAGAAUCUUUUAUUCCAACCCACGUUUCGUUCUAAACAGUCCUUGCUGCGAGGUAGCCAAAGAUUUGUGUACACAAUCUUUUGAACCUUUUUACCAUCAUGCACCGAGAUAGUUGAUCUAAAAUUCUAAAUUCAACACUGCAGGGAACAUCCUCGAUGGGAAGUUCAUCGACCUUCUGGCAUGGUGAUCGUAACGAUAUUCUUUGUGUAUAAGUCUUCCCUUAUUGAAGAUGCCUCUGUGCUCGAUGGAACUCUCUCCAUAUAGAAACCGGGCUGUUUAGGCUGGGGCAAGAUUGCUUCCUCAUUGGCUAACAUGAAAACGACUGAUGACAUUGUUGGCCUAUCUCCAGGAAGCUUUUGGACACAUAGCAAACCAACAUGAAUGCAUCUCUCUACUUGGGAUGCAAUAAAGGAGUUGCAUAGAGAUUCAUGUAGAAGCUCUAAGGACCUGCCUGCGCUCCACAGCAACCAUGCCUGGCACAAAUCCAUUUAUGUAGUUAAGCAUCACUAAAAAACAUGAGUUUGGACAACCAUACCAUACUUACAUGCGCAAGAAGGUUGUGUUCAUGAUCAGGAUGGCAGAACCCUCUGUUCCUUUUGCCACUUACUACCUCUAGCAAAACUACACCAAGGCUAAAAACAUCGGAUUUCACAGAGAAUUUUCCAUCAAAAGCAUAUUCGGGAGACAUGUAGCCGCUGCAUUAAGAAUAUUGAGACUUAAAUCUACCCAGUGUUCAUGGACAAUGCUCAUUAAUCAAGAUAAGAAACUUACUAGGUACCAAUGAUUCUUCUCGUUCUUGCUUCUCUUUCAUUGCCUCCAAAGAUUCUUGCAAGGCCAAAGUCUGAGAUUUUAGGAUUGAGGUCUGCAUCCAACAAAAUAUUACUUGUUUUGAGAUCUCUGUGAAUGACUUGCAGUUUUGAAUCUUGAUGAAGAUAAAGAAGUCCUCUCGCAAUUCCUAAAACUAUGUCGAAGCGACUUUUCCAUGCUAACAAGAAGCUUCUGUCAUCAUCUGCAUACAAUCAAACCCAAUGUAAGUCUUAAAAAUUUAAGCUCGGCACUCUAAAGGAAAUGAGUUUAUUGAUUUGCAUUUGGUUGUAUGUCCAGGCAAAGGCACAAAUGACAUACUGACUAAUAGAAUAGGGGUGGA